UAACGUCUUCAGGGCGGGGCGAAACUCCCCACCGGCGGUAGGUCGCGAUGCGACGAGCCCGCGAGCGCCUCCGUGGCCCAGGCCGCGAAGGGUCAGCAGAUCCGGUCCGAUGCCGGAGCCGACGGUCACAGUCCGGAUGAAAGAAGACGGUU
rnacentral:ncRNA from 2 species